rnacentral:rRNA from 1 species
UACGAAGGGGGCUAGCGUUGCUCGGAAUCACUGGGCGUAAAGCGCACGUAGGCGGGUCGUUAAGUCAGGGGUGAAAUCCCGGAGCUCAACUCCGGAACUGCCUUUGAUACUGAGGAGCUUGAGUCCGGGAGAGGUGAGUGGAACUGCGAGUGUAGAGGUGAAAUUCGUAGAUAUUCGCAAGAACACCAGUGGCGAAGGCGGCUCACUGGCCCGGUACUGACGCUGAGGUGCGAAAGCGUGGGGAGCAAACAGG